UCCUUGAUAGUCUAGUGGUUAGGAUAUCUGCUUGUCACGCAGGGACCGGGGUUCAAUUCCCCGUCGAGGAG
rnacentral:tRNA from 1 species